rnacentral:rRNA from 1 species
UAGGGAAUCUUCCACAAUGGACGCAAGUCUGAUGGAGCAACGCCGCGUGAGUGAAGAAGGUCUUCGGAUCGUAAAACUCUGUUGUUAGAGAAGAACACGAGUGAGAGUAACUGUUCAUUCGAUGACGGUAUCUAACCAGCAAGUCACGGCUAACUACGUGCCAGCAGCCGCGGUAAUACGUAGGUGGCAAGCGUUGUCCGGAUUUAUUGGGCGUAAAGGGAACGCAGGCGGUCUUUUAAGUCUGAUGUGAAAGCCUUCGGCUUAACCGGAGUAGUGCAUUGGAAACUGGAAGACUUGUNUGCAGAAGAGGAGAGUGGAACUCCAUGUGUAGCGGUGAAAUGCGUAGAUAUAUGGAAGAACACCAGUGGCGAAAGCGGCUCUCUGGUCUGUAACUGACGCUGAGGUUCGAAAGCGUGGGUAGCAAACAGGAUUAGAUACCCUGGUAGUCCACGCCGUAAACGAUGAAUGCUAGGUGUUGGAGGGUUUCCGCCCUUCAGUGCCGCAGCUAACGCAAUAAGCAUUCCGCCUGGGGAGUACGACCGCAAGGUUG